rnacentral:rRNA from 1 species
AACGAACGCUGGCGGCAUGCCUAACACAUGCAAGUCGAACGAGAUCUUCGGGUCUAGUGGCGCACGGGUGCGUAACGCGUGGGAAUCUGCCCUUUGGUUCGGAAUAACAGUUGGAAACGACUGCUAAUACCGGAUGAUGACGAAAGUCCAAAGAUUUAUCGCCAGAGGAUGAGCCCGCGUAGGAUUAGCUAGUUGGUGUGGUAAAGGCGCACCAAGGCGACGAUCCUUAGCUGGUCUGAGAGGAUGAUCAGCCACACUGGGACUGAGACACGGCCCAGACUUCUACGGGAGGCCGCGGUGGGGAAUAUUGGACAAGGGGCGAAAGCGUGAUCCAGCAAUGCCGCGUGAGUGAUGAAGGCCUUAGGGUUGUAAAGCUCUUUUACCCGGGAUGAUAAUGACAGUACCGGGAGAAUAAGCUCCGGCUAACUCCGUGCCAGCCGCCGCUGUAA